UGCCCCUUCAGCCCCGCCCCCAGGCUUGCAGCCUCUCCUACCCUCAGCCCACUCUUCAGCCCCGCCUCCAGGUGGGCCCCACCCCACUCUUCAGCCCCGCCUCCAGGUGGGCCCCACCCCACUCUUCAGCCCCGCCUCCAGGUGGGCCCCACCCCACCCUUCAGCCCCGCCUCCAGGCCUCCAAACCUGCCCCUGCCCUCAGCCCCGCCCCCAGGCCUCCAGCCCCGCCCCCAGGAUUCCAGCUACUCCUCUGACCCUCAGCCCCGCCCCCAGGCCUCAGCCCCGCCCCCAGGAUUCCAGCUACUCCUCUGACCCUCAGCCCCGCCCCCAGGCCUCCAGCCCCGCCCCCAGGAUUCCAGCUACUCCUCUGACCCUCAGCCCCGCCCCCAGGCCUCAGCCCCGCCCCCAGGAUUCCAGCUACUCCUCUGACCCUCAGCCCCGCCCCCAGGCCUCCAGCCCCGCCCCCAGGAUUCCAGCUACUCCUCUGACCCUCAGCCCCGCCCCCAGGCCUCAGCCCCGCCCCCAGGAUUCCAGCUACUCCUCUGACCCUCAGCCCCGCCCCCAGGCCUCAGCCCCGCCCCCAGGCCUAAACCCAGACUGAUGACCCCUGGCCACUGGACACUCCAGUCUUGUCUUUCAAGCUUCUUGGCUGCGCUGAGGCGGAAAUGCCGUCUUUUCUAGAGCUGUUCUACGAGUGCAGAAACAGGGGCAAGGGGCUGGCCCAGAAACCAGCAGCGAGGCUGCGGAGCAUCCCUGAAGAUGGAAGAACCCUGCCGGGCCCCGUGGGACCGCAGGCCCCGG
rnacentral:lncRNA from 1 species